UUUCUCGUAUAGGACUACUGGGGUGACGUCAUACCUCGGUGAUGGAACGUACUCCACCUAUCGAGAAUGAUUUCGUUUUCUGAGAGAAUUUGACGUUUACCUUGGCGGAGAAACGCCUCUCGUUCUUUACUUGACUGUGAGCUGUGGUGUCGAAUAGAUAUACCAUAUAGAAUGGCGGAUGAUUUCCUCCAACUUAUUUUAUCACAUAAGAAAUUUAACGUAAAGUAAAAAGUUACCACCAGGGAUUGUCUGGAGUGAGGAGACAUGUGGGUGACAACUCCUGUUGGAGUAUAAAUAGGAAUCAUUCGCCAUUUGGGAGAAACCCUACCAUGAAGUCAUAGACCUUAUUUGACCACCUAGAGAAACCACUACAGCCACAGUCAAGUCAUCAUGGGAAUACGUCUUUUUGGGAACAAGCUAUGGGAGCGUUCCAGCUCAAUUUUCGUCUUGGCACCUGGGCCUACAGGAGUCAUGGGGUCGCACCAUCCUGGUGCAUCAUUUUCUAGGAUGUAACCGCAACCUCGUUUGGGAACAUUUAGUGAGGUGUUUUAGUAACUAUUGGUUUUUUUUAUAUUUCAGACUAUCUGUUAAAUACACUAUGUUUUUUUUCCAGAUUUAGGUUACCUCUGGUUUUUUUUUGACAUAUUUGUAUAUUAGAUUAUUUGGUUCCCAAACUUUGUAUCUACGGUAACUUCUUGUGCACAGGAAUAAGCCUAGAGAAAAUUAGGUUUUUAAUACUUUAUUAUUGCUUUGAUAUUGGUUUAUGUAAUUCGGGUAAAUUUAUUUUGUAAUAUUACUAGCUUGUUUCCCAAAUAUUUUACUGUUAUUCGCUUUAUUCCGUUUGUUCGGUUAAUUUAGGUCAUCGUCGGUAUUUAUCUCAACUUCAUUUCUACUUUAUUCAUUGUAUAUCUAACUUUGCUUAAUUCAUUUAGUAUUUUCCCUUAGUUAGGCUCAUGCCUAUUUACAUAUAUUUAUUUAUAUUACUUUUAAUAUUCAUCGGUUUUCCUUUAGUUGUACGUAGCAGGCGUACUAUAACCAUUUGGUAGAAGACUUAUGUAAUUUUGUACCCUAUAUGUUAGUGAAAGGUAUUUAUACCUGUAAUUUUGUAACAGGUAACAUUGUUGUUAUCUUAGGUUGAACAUAACUUUUGCAAACUUUUGUCAUGUUAGAGUCACAUAAUAUGAACUUGUUUAACUCAGAGAUUGUUAAAAAUCUGGUAGUUCAUUUUAAUAAAUGUUUAUUUAUUUUGUA
rnacentral:lncRNA from 1 species